UCACUGACUCCCUCUGCUCUCUUCUUGUCUCUUAAGGUUACACCUAUCAUUUUCCUUUCCAUCGCUCGCUGCGUCGUCCUCAAUUUAAGCUGAACCCUCUUUGUAAGUCUCCAGGUUUCUGCUCCGUAGGUAAGUACCGGUAAGAUGCAGCUGUUAUAUACCUUCCUCUUGAGGGAUA